UACGGAGGUGGCAAGCGUUGCUCGGAAUCACUGGGCGUAAAGGGCUCGUAGGCGGCCAACUAAGUCAGACGUGAAAUCCCUCGGCUUAACCGGGGAACUGCGUCUGAUACUGGAUGGCUUGAGUUUGGGAGAGGGAUGCGGAAUUCCAGGUGUAGCGGUGAAAUGCGUAGAUAUCUGGAGGAACACCGGUGGCGAAGGCGGCAUCCUGGACCAACACUGACGCUGAGUGAGCGAAAGCCAGGGGAGCAAACGGG
rnacentral:rRNA from 1 species